ACUCACUUUUGAGGAUAUGGUGUUGAAGAAUGAUCUUAGUGCUAUUCGAAACGAUUCCCCUCUUCUUCUUACACGGAACCUUAUGCAUAGGAGCUCCUCAACCCCGUGUCUGUCACCUACUGGGAGGGAUAACUAGCAGAGAGAUCGGAGUGGUCCUAUUGAGAUAUUAGGACAAUCGACUCACUUUGCUAAAAUGAAACAGCUGGUCAAGGAAAUUGUGAAGGCAAUUAAGAUCGGGGUUAAUCCGGUUGCUGUUCAUGGUGGACUUGGUGGUGCGUACUAUUUUAGGAAUAUCAAAGGUGAGAAU